rnacentral:tRNA from 1 species
GGUGGCUCAGUGGUAGAGUGCUUGCCUUGCAUGUAUGCAGUCCUGGGUUCGAUUCCUCAGCACCA